AGAGUUUGAUCCUGGCUCAGAACGUACGCUGGCGGCACGCCUUAUACAUGCAAGUCGAACGGAGUAGCAAUACUUAGUGGCAGACGGGUGAGUAACAUGUGGGUAUCUUCCCUUUGGUGAGGAAUAACACGAGGAAACUUGUGCUAAUACCUCAUAAGUCCUUACGGAGAAAGCUUUAUGCGCCAAUGGAUGAGCCCGCACUUGAUUAGUUUGUUGGUGGGGUAAUAGCCUACCAAGACUGUGAUCAAUAGCUGAUUUGAGAGGAUGAUCAGCCACAUUGGGACUGAGACACGGCCCAAACUCCUACGGGAGGCAGCAGUAGGGAAUCUUGCACAAUGGAGGAAACUCUGAUGCAGCGAUGCCGCGUGAGUGAAGAAGGCCUUUGGGUUGUAAAGCUCUUUCGUCGGGGAAGAAAAUGACUGUACCCGAAUAAGAAGGUCCGGCUAACUUCGUGCCAGCAGCCGCGGUAAUACGAAGGGACCUAGCGUAGUUCGGAAUUACUGGGCUUAAAGAGUUCGUAGGUGGUUAAAAAAGUUGGUGGUGAAAUCCCAGAGCUUAACUCUGGAACUGCCAUCAAAACUUUUUAGCUAGAGUAUGAUAGAGGAAAGUAGAAUUUCUAGUGUAGAGGUGAAAUUCGUAGAUAUUAGAAAGAAUACCAAUUGCGAAGGCAGCUUUCUGGAUCAUUACUGACACUGAGGAACGAAAGCAUGGGUAGCGAAGAGGAUUAGAUACCCUCGUAGUCCAUGCCGUAAACGAUGUGUGUUAGAUGUUGGAAAUUUAUUUUCAGUAUCGCAGCGAAAGCAAUAAACACACCGCCUGGGGAGUACGACCGCAAGGUUAAAACUCAAAUGAAUUGACGGGGACCCGCACAAGUAGUGGAGCAUGUGGUUUAAUUCGAAGAUACGCGCAGAACCUUACCAACACUUGACAUGUUCGUUACGACUCUAAGAGAUUAGAGUUUUCGGUUCGGCCGGACGAAACACAGGUGCUGCAUGGCUGUCGUCAGCUCGUGUCGUGAGAUGUUGGGUUAAGUCCCGCAACGAGCGCAACCCCUACUUUUAGUUGCCACCAUUUAGUUGGGCACUCUGAAAGAACUGCCAGUGAUAAGCUGGAGGAAGGUGGGGAUGACGUCAAGUCCUCAUGGCCCUUAUGUGUUGGGCUACACACGUGCUACAAUGGCAUUUACAGUAGGAAGCAAGAUGGCGACGUCAAGCAAAUCCUAAAAAAAUGCCUCAGUUCGGAUUGUACUCUGCAACUCGAGUACAUGAAGCUGGAAUUACUAGUAAUCGCGGAUCAGCGUGCCGCGGUGAAUACGUUCCCGGGUCUUGUACACACCGCCCGUCACACCAUGGGAGUUGGUUCUACCUUAAGGCAAAGUUUAAUACCUUUGACCACGGUAUAGUCAGCGACUGGGGUGAAGUCGUAACAAGGUAACC
rnacentral:rRNA from 1 species